rnacentral:tRNA from 1 species
GGUCCCGUAGCUCAACUGGAUAGAGCACCUCACUUCUAAUGAGGAUGUUGAAGGUUCGAGUCCUUCCGGGAUCA